rnacentral:rRNA from 1 species
CAGUAGCCACGGGAAUACGAAGGGGGCUAGCGUUGCUCGGAAUUACUGGGCGUAAAGGGCGCGUAGGCGGACAUUUAAGUCAGGGGUGAAAUCCCAGAGCUCAACUCUGGAACUGCCUUUGAUACUGGGUGUCUUGAGUGUGAGAGAGGUAUGUGGAACUCCGAGUGUAGAGGUGAAAUUCGUAGAUAUUCGGAAGAACACCAGUGGCGAAGGCGACAUACUGGCUCAUUACUGACGCUGAGGCGCGAAAGCGUGGGGAGCAAACAGGAUUAGAUACCCCCGUAGUCCCUGUCUCUUAUAC